ensembl:misc_RNA Metazoa_SRP Metazoan signal recognition particle RNA
GCAGGGUGCAGUGGCGCGCGCCUGUAAUCCAAGCUGCUGGGAGGCUGAGGCUGGCGGAUCGCUUGAGUUCAGGGGUUCUGGGCUGCAGUGGACUAUGUCGAUCGGGUGUCCGCGCUAAGUUCGGUAUCGAUAUGGUGCUCCUGGGGGAGCUCGGGACCACCAGGUCGUCUAAGGAGGGGUGAACCGGCCCAGGUCGGAGACGGAGCAGGUCAAAGCCCCCGUGCCGAUCAGUAGUGGGGUCGCACCUGUGAAUAGACACUGCAGUGCAGCCUGAGCGAUACAGCGAGACUCAGACUUUU